rnacentral:rRNA from 1 species
UACGUAGGGGACGAGCGUUGUCCGGAUUUACUGGGCGUAAAGGGCGCGUAGGCGGUCAUUUAAGUCAGCUGUGAAAUGGUUUGGCUUAACCGGAUCAUGCGGUUGAAACUGGAUGACUGGAGUGCUGGAGAGGCAAGUGGAAUUCCCAGUGUAGCGGUGAAAUGCGUAGAUAUUGGGAAGAACACCGGUGGCGAAGGCGACUUGCUGGCCAGCAACUGACGCUGAGGCGCGAAAGCCAGGGGAGCAAACGGGAUUAGAUACCCCGGUAGUCCUGGCCGUAAACGAUGAAUGCUAGGUGUGGGCAUCGAGAGGUGUCCGUGCCGGAGCUAACGCGAUAAGCAUUCCGCCUGGGGAGUACGAUCGCAAGAUUGAA